rnacentral:rRNA from 1 species
UACGUAGGGGGCUAGCGUUGUCCGGAUUUAUUGGGCGUAAAGAGCGUGUAGGCGGCCAAGUAGGUCCGGUGUGAAAACUCGAGGCUCAACCUCGAGAUGUCGGCGGAAACCAUCUGGCUAGAGUCCGGAAGAGGAGAGUGGAAUUCCCGGUGUAGCGGUGAAAUGCGCAGAUAUCGGGAAGAACACCCGUGGCGAAGGCGGCUCUCUGGGACGGUACUGACGCUGAGACGCGAAAGCGUGGGGAGCGAACAGG